CCACCUGCCCAUCGGUCUCUCCGUCCCCACCUGCUUCUUCUGGCAGUGGAGGGGGUGCUUAAGCAUCUGUUACACCUCAGCAGACAGGGGGUGGGCGGGCCUCAGACCCUGCUCUGUCUCAGAGCUGUUAUCACUUCAGCAUUCAAGUUCUAUCAGGUAGGCGCUGAGCCUGAGACGUGUGUGCUGUUUCCAGGACAGGGCGCCGGGGGACAAAGCCAGCGUGAGAGGCAGUGACACUUCUGUUAAGGCAACUAACCAGAGGUCACGUAACUAGCCCAAGGUCACAUAACUGGGAGGUGACAGAUUUGCUAUUUCAUUCAAGACUAUUUGACUCCAGAGGAUUCAUUGUUGACUACUAUACUGCUAAAGAGGAUGUUGAUGGAAGAGGAGAAUAAAAGAGUUUCGAAGGCUGUGAAAUAUGGAGAAGAAUAAUGAGACCUGCUACCCAGGUUGUUAGAAGACCUAACAGGUCUUCCAUAGGAAUGGACCACCACCGUGCGCUGAUCGCCACCUGCUGUGGACUGAGGGUUCACCACACCCCCACACUUCAAAAAAGAUAUGUUGAGCUGCUAACCCCCCGUAGCUGGGAACAUGAUUUUAUUCAGAAAUAGGGUCUUUGCAGAUUUCAUCAAGUCCAGAAGAGGCUGUCCAGAGUGGGCCCUGAUCUAACAGGAAGACGGCCUUGUGAUAACACAGAGACACAGGGAAAAGCCACGUGGAGAUGGAGGCAGAGACUGGAAUCAAGCAUCUCCAAGUGGAGGACAACCAAGAACCGCUGAUGUCACUGGGGGCUAGGAGAAAGGCCUGGACCAGACUCUCCCCCAGACCCCUAGAGGGAAUCAAUGCUGCCGAGGCUCUGAUUUUAGACUCCUGGCCUCCAGAGCUCUGAGAAUAAUUUUCUUUUAUUUUAAGUCACUCAGUUGGUGACCCUUUGUAACAGCCACUCUCCAGGACAUAAUACGCAUCUCAACUGAGAACUGUCUACAAAAGAAUUCUGUGUAAUGUUACAUAUAAAAUUUAACAAAAACACUGAA